rnacentral:tRNA from 1 species
GCCGGUGUGUUGGAAUUGGCAGACGAGGUGGACUCAAAAUCCAUUGGUGGUGACACCGUGCGGGUUCGACCCCCGCCACCGGCACCA